AAUCUGAAACAUUUAAGUGUGACCAAAAAAAAAGAAAUCAGGAAGGGGGCAAACACUUUUGCACACCACUGUAUAUGAGUCUGGACAGACAUGGAUCUAAACUGCAAUUCUACACUUCUUAAAAUUUGUCUUACAAUAGGAAGCCAUCUUUAAAGUUGAAAAUGGGUCUCUGUUGUGGGUAUUAAAAGUAUCUGUAUCUCAAACUCUUUUUUUAUGAGAAAGUCAGUUAAGAUAUUUGUUUUAAACUAUGGUCAAAGAUUAGGAAAACAUUAAAAUUUUUAGGAAUAUGGUUUGACGUGUUGAAGACAUGGAAAAAUCUUCCCGGCAAAAUAUAAGAUAAAUGUAAAAUAGUCUUGAAUGUUAUGAGAUGCUGGAUGGGCACUGCUUGGGGAGCAAUAUUUAUAUUGCUUUUAUUAGGUCAGUUCUAGAUUAUGGUUGUAUUGUAUUUGAAUCAGCUGCGUUCACAUCCCUAUAAAGUUUAAACAGAAUUCAGACUCAAUCGUUACAGUUGUGUUGUGGGGCAGUCAAGUCAACGCUGCUGUCAGCCGCUUCAGGUGGAAGUUGGGGAAAUUCCUCUUCAUCUAAGAAGCAAACAAUUAAUAAUCAAUUAUUAGGCAAACCUGUAGGGCCAUUAAGAUUUACACCUUACAUAAAGGUUUAAAAAAGUGUGUUUAUAACCUUUUGAUUAGGUGUGUUUUUGUGUUAUUUCAGAUAUAACUAAGGAAUUAUGAAUCCACGAUUAGAACAUUAGUCGGUGACAUCUUUUAAAUCACUUCUCAAAACGUAUCUUUUUAAAAAUCUUUUUAGUAAAGUUAGCACACCAGUUUCACUGUAUUUCCAACAUGUCUUAUCUGUUUUAUUAUUAAGUGUCAGAUUUUAUUUUCCUGAAAUGCAGUCCUGAAAUGUUUAGUCCUGGUUCAACCAUGUAAAGCAUUUGGUCACUUUCUUUUGAAAAGUGCUGUAUAAAUAAUGUUUAUUAUUAUUAUUACGUACAUACAGGUGGGUCUAAAAACCCUGAUAAUGGUAAAACAAGUUGUGCAUUUUAUGUUCCAGAGUUAAAAGCUAAGGUGACAAAGAGAACUGACAAUAUAGCAGUAUAUUCAGUUUAAAUGAUGGUGAUUUAAUUCACUCUACUGUGGAUAGAGGAAAUCAAAUCCCUGCCAAUUCUAAUAUGCUCAGACUCAAAGUGCAGCCCUGGCUAAUCUCAAACCUACUUCUUCAAGAUGUAGACAGGAUAUUCUUUAUGAAAUAUUGCAAUCUUUAUAUACAAUUAUUAGGUUAGGAAUUGAUGUACAUUUGUUAUAGGUAUCAGCUCAUGUUGGUGUUCAAGGGAAUGAAACAGUAGAUCAACGUUCCAAAAAGUGGAUUAAAAGCAAAUCAAUACCAGUAAGUAAGGCAGAAACCAAAAACUAAGACGCAGUGGCAGAGGUUAUGGGAUGGAGAACUGACAGGAAGGCAUUUUUAGCAGAUACAGCAAGAAGUGGAAGUGGGAAGGUCACUUGAAAGAAGAGUGUCGGAUAAAUCGGAUUAGACUGGGACAUACUAAACUAAAUUCAUCUCUCCGCCUCAUCGGAAAGCGUCCAAGCAGAAACUGUGAUGUCUGCAAUCAAAAAGGAGACUGUGGAUGUCAUCUGUGUUUAUCCUAAAUAUGCAAAUCAAAGACUGUUAUUAAGGAACAAGCUGGAACGUCAAGGGAUUAGACACAUGGACCUUAAAACAAUCUUUGCAAACAGUUGUGGAAAUUGGACCUAGAAAUUGGACCUUUACAAGACCGAGGACUGUUAACAAGAAUAUAAGAAUUCUGUAACUACAGAAUAGCUAGAAGGCACAGCAGGGGAUGAACUUCCUGCAGCAGCUGAAGACGUGCCAAAGUCAUACAUUACAUUAAAGCAAAUCUUUGGAUUAUUAUUUUGCACAUUGCACAUAUUCUUUAUACUGUAAACAUUUGCACAUUCCUUGGUCAAUAUUUUGCACCUUCCAUCCUUCGUUUUAAACACUGCACAAGCUCUUUUCAUUUUAAAAACAGAUAUUUCACAUUUUUAAUUCAAAUGUUCUAAUUAAUAUUUAUGAUUCUUGACUCCUGCAGUACUUGUGUUUCCUUUUUAUUUUCCUUUAUCUUUAUUGUGACCGUUAUGCACCAAAAUACCAAGGCAGAUUUCUUGUACAUGACAACCUACUUGGCUAUAAACCUGUUUGUUUCUGAUUCUGAUCCAGUUGGUGGCGAUGAUGAUCCGCAAUGAACCUGCAAUUCUCCAUUAAAAGCAGAAGGAGGAGGAGAAGAAGAAGAAGAAAGGUAAUCAUGCUCCGACGUCAUGCCAAAGCUGAAGGGAAGUCAGGUGAAGUUGAUUAAAAAUAUUAAUGUGGUCAUUGUGAGUCGUCUGGAUGGGGAAAAACGUGGCCUCACACCAAACAAAGUUAAAGUUAUUUAAAUCAAGCAACCGAGAGCUAAAAAGUUAACUAGUUUUUCCCAGUAAUGGUACCAGCUGCGUGCUUUUAUAACUACUUUAGCUAGCAGCAGUGCAGGGAGGAGAUGAGCUGGACAUUUAUACAGCCUGGAUAUUAACCACUUUGCCUCAAAGAAGAAAGAAAAGAAUGACUUAUCUUCCUACCGUCCUGCUGCAGCUCGGGGGAAACCGGCUACAUCCCAGCCUCAUACAUCGAAAAAAUACGGAGCUGCUGUUGUUUCAUCGCUCCGAGCUGACAAGUCUGCUGGCAUCAUCUGUCUGCUGUGGGCGGUGGAGCAGGUGGAGAACGAGAUAUCAGAGCCAAACAGGGAAAAAGUGACAUUUCAGUGUGGGGGGCGGGGGGUUGGCAUGUUGAGCCAAGCAAGAUGCUCAGCUGGCUGGUUCUUGACCUUUGAUUCACAGCAGUUACAAUGGAUUCUAAUGGAAAUCCAGAGUCACAGUAAGAAAUGAUGUCAAUGUCCAUAGAAACUUCUCAGACUUCUUGCAGCAUACCAUAAAACUUAAAUUAAAAGCUGAGCCCCCAUUAAAUGCAGAGUACCUUUUAAUGGCCGGGUCUGGCUACACGUUUUGAUAAAUACAGGUUUCAAUUAGAUGCCGGGUCUGGUUUUUAUAGAAGUCCUUUGGAUGUAUGAAACCUCUUAAAGCCCACUGGGUCGCCUGCUUAAGCUAGUUCUAAGCUGCUUAGAUCGAUAUGGACAUGUAACGUUCAGUUCAUUUUACGGAAACCAUGAGCACCAAAGUAUAAUUCAUUCAGAUUUACCGGCAUGGUAAACAAGAGAGAUGAGAAAAAAGUGGUGAUUCCUUACCUUUUGAAGCGGUCAUAAAGUCAGAAUAUGUGUCCAUUCCUCGAUUGUUUACCGUAUUUCCCAUCUUGUGCAAAAGAAUUAAAGGCCUGUCCCAAAUAUAGGCAGGUUGAGUUCAGUGACUGAAGAAAAUAAAAGCCUGGGCUAUUAAUUAAGUUUUACGGUAAUCCACUUCUCUGCUGUUGUAUAGUCUCUUCCAAACCCUCGUAAUUUCUCCACAACAGAGCUAUAUAUGCAAAUUCUGCCUCAGAGAUCUGCUACCUGGCUUGUGCUUCAGGUUGGGUUCGUUUAUUUUCAAAUGUAAUUUACUGAGAAUUUAUCUUUCUCUCCAAGACUGAGCCAAUUGUUUGCACCUAUAUGUAUUGUAUGUUGCAAGUAGAUUCAGUGUCAGUGCCAUCCAUUAGCUUGGUGAGCUAAUGGUCAGUAAUGGAUGUAAUAAAUCAACUAUCGCCUCAGAUUGGGUUCAGGUCUCCAAUUUAGCAGCACCAGUUAGGUCAGGUUCUGGUCUCAAUUUUCUGCUCAUGCGGAAGUCCAUUGCCUCCUCAAAGUGCUGAAAGCUCCGCUUGAAGUAGGGUAUUUAGUGAUUUAUUGAAACCAGCAGGCUAAAGCAAGUCUGGGUAAACUGCAGGCCUGCCAAUUAUACUGUAUAGCUACACCAGCGAGCAGCUAACAGCUGCCUGCCAUUCAGCUAGUGUUUGUUUACAGCUGACAGCUUCCAGGUAUUAGGUCCAGGGGUCUAUUCCAGAAAACAGGUUCAACAAACUCGGAGCCUAAGCCUGAACUCUGAGUUGAUGAACGCUGAGAUGGGAAACUCAAGUGUUUUCGGUUCUAGAACAGCUGAUUUGAAUUUGUUCAAUCAACUCUGAGUAUGUUCACUCUGAAUUAAGCAUGUGCAUGAGGACUAUAAAAGGUCAUCAUCAAUGGAGCUCUGAUACUACGAUUCACCAUGGCAACAGGUAAAUAAAAUGCUGAGCCUCCAUUUUAAUCUGGACUGUGCACAUUUAUCUUUUAAGAAAAGCACCUGAGUCAGAGCAGGGAAAAAUGUCAAUAAGUUAACACAAUAGAGUUUUAUUCAGUGUUGUCCCUUAAUUCAGCAUUCACCAGACUUAUAUUUGAAAUGUAAUGUAGGCUAUGGCCUAAUACACAGUCAGAUUCCACCACUUCAUUAUCCAUUAAGGAAAUGUAUUUGUUCAGCUUUAAUCUGCCAAAACACAGGGGCCAGCAACUGAAGAUGAAAAAUAUAGUUGAAGAUUUAAAAAAUAUAGGAUAUAGAUCAAAGGCAUAGAGACGGGACUGUAGGAUCACAGUCUGAUCCAGUAAUAAUGUGUUUGAUAAAUUGCAUUUAAAAAGGCGUUGAGUUUAAAAUACAGUAGAUUGUUAAAUUUUAGACAUCUAUUUGGAUCUUGGCUCAACAGUAUUCAGCUUUAUUUCAGCUACUUCAACAAAUGUAGUAAAUUUAGUCACUGAAAUGCUGUUAAAACACGUUCAGACUAAAUGCAGCCUAUUUAAAAAAACUCAUUUUCAAACCACAUUCUGCAGCUGCACCUCGAUCCUGCUAACUCUGAACUGAAAUAUUUACACACAAUCUCCAAUAUUACAGGAAUUAUGUUCCAUCAGUGCAACCAAUCACAUUAUGAGUGAUAAAGAUAAUUAUUCAUUGAUCCUACAUGUCUAAAGCUUCAUACCGAUUUUUACACUUUAAACUGAGAUUACACAUUAUGUGCAAUAAACAUUUUAGUGGAACUGCUCUAACAAACUGACAGCUGUCUUGUGUGCAGUCAGUUUUAUAAAACCAGAAGGACAUGCAGGGUUUUAUUUCUGAGCUGACUUGCUGUGUAAUAUUUUUAAAUGUGAGGGCAAAAACCGCUGUUCAAAGACAUGACUGACAUCGCAGUAAGUAACUUUAGAUAGUCCUGAGUAACAAACUUUGACAUACAGUAAACCUCCGCUAAUUAAUAUACGCGCUUUGAUAUGGACUGAAUCAGUGAGGAAAUGAAAUAGCGUGUCCGGCUCUGUAGGAGGGAGGAGACAAAGAGAAACUCAGGGUUUGUUGAAGAAAACCUGCCAGCGAGCAGGUUAGGUUCACACAGUCACACCAAGAGUUUAAGUUACUUCUCUUUCUGGAACGGAAAACCCAGUUUCCCUCAUCUCAGGGUAAACAAACUGAGUUUUCACUAAACCUGCUUUUUGGAAUAGACUCCAGGUUCAGUUUAUUAAGUACACCUAGCUAAAACUGUCUUAAUACAACAGUCCUGCAAUAAAUCCUAUUGAAACUGUUUUUAGAGAAGUGUUGAUUCAACUUCAUGGUAAUUGUGGAGGCUGUAGUUUGUGGUGCUGUUGCACUGUAUUGUGUUAUACUGACUGAUGUUUCUAAUAUUUUGUUCUAAAUAACAAACACCUCUCUGUAUGAUGCAAUACGGUUUAACAGCACCACAAAUGUGGGUAUUGCAUCUUGUGGAUGUGCACAACCAACGCUCCAAACGGACGCAGGAUACGUGAGGCAGCCAUCAUGCGCACGCAAACACGUAGUUAAAAGCAAGUAUAUCUCGGCUGUAGACACCAACAGUUUUGACCUGUUGGUGGUGGUAAAAGAAAAGCACGGUCGCUUAAUUACACCCGCAUCACAUGUAGGUGCUACUGGAACUCAGCAUAGAUAAGUGUAAGGCAUGCACACACACUCUAAACCACAAAUUUAUUUAAAUGGACAAUGUUUAUAGUCAGAUCUUUGUCAGGCCUGAACUUGACCUAACAAGGAUUUGACUGUGAUCAAGAAACUGACCAUUUAAAUAAAUUUAUGGUUUGGAGUUAGCAUGCAGUCGUUAAACUUCUUAACCAGGAUUGAAAUGGCAGACAUUCAAGCCAAACCCUCAACAUUCGGCUCUGCUUACUGCCUGACACAAACAAGCAGUAAUUAUUCACCUGCAGUAAGACUAAGAGUGUAACAGUAAGCUGUUUAUUGACCUGUUUGACUCAUAACAGGUCAUACUGGUGUUUUCUAUGUCUUCAGCCUUCAGGAAUGUUUGUUAGACGACCUCAGUUAAGAUUUUCUCACAACAGACCAGCUGUAGUCUCGUGCUCUUUGUUUCUCAGAACAUUAUGCUGCUAAGUAUUACACAACAUGGUGGAGGUUUUUACACCAUUUUUUAGGACAUUUCCUGCAUAGAUGCAGCUAGAAAUGCUGAAUGCUGAAGUUGACAACAUUCUGUCCAAAAUGAAAUCCCCAAAGUUCAGGGAAACAGGUGAUUCGAGCUCAUUUGAAAAUUAUUGGUACCACCACAAGUCAGAAUUGACUUUCGAAUUGUACAGAUCUGACAUCAAAUAAUGACCUUCAAAUAAAUAUUUAAUUCACAAAACAAUGGAUGAAGGGGUCCAGAUUUACAAACGCUGUUCACAAAAAUGCACAACCUCCAGCUCAGUCUUCAUGCGUGACCCUGCCAUGCUUAACGUGAGCAUUGGUUUGUGCAAGUUAGAGGCUUCACCUCUUGUUCUGCCAUUGGUCAGGAGAAUAGGCUUGAGUCUGGUGUUUUGUUUAUAGAGGAAGUAACUGUUUGUUUGAUGUGCCCUGGAGCCAACCAGUGAAUCACAUUAAUAAUUCAGAUAAUCAGACAAAUUAGCUAGAGGAGGAACUGACCGAAUUGCUUCGAUACUAACGAGUAUCGAAAAAUGCUUUGUCUUUCAGUACCAAAUUUCGAUACCUCAGGAGUAAAUCUCAUCAGUGUCAGUGAGCCAAUAAGCAUGCAGCAUGCUUGUACCAAGAUCUAAUAAUUGAUCUAAUGAUUGUUUACACGUCGUAGAGGCAUGCAGGAAAAACACUACGUUACGCUCAGAGACAGGGCUCAUUGUUUGUUUUGUUUUUUUACUGCCAGCUGCUUACAUGCACAGAUAAGUACUUUAUGCUGCUUGUUAGCUAGGCAGUGCAGUGCACAGUCUGUAUCUGCUCGUCGGUAAGUCCGUCCACUGGGAUGAAAGCCCUGGCGCAUCAUCUCCUCGCCACCGUGGGGAUGGAUUACUUGGAGCUGAGGCGGAGAGCAUUUCUGAUGGCAAACAUGGUGUUGCUUACAGAUGGACAGGUAAACGGAGAGAAAUACUCCUGAAGUUGACACGGUGGAUGGUUGUCAGACCUGGGCUAGCUGCUCUUUAGCACAGAGAAAGUAAGAGGUCUCACUCUGCCACUAUUUCCCAGUACCACAAACGUCACCCACACAGUACUCCCCUUCUUCUUUGGGUUAGGCAGACUAGAAGCUACAAUGAAGUAUUACUGCCAUACUGUUUGUUUUUAAUGUUCCUUUUGACAGUUCCAGAGUUCCUUUUGUGGAGAUGGGUAAACCUUACAGAAGGACAAUAAUCAGUACAGCACUUCACCAAUCAGGCCUUUUAUGGUAGAGUGGCCAGAGGGAAGCCAUUCCUCACUAAAAGACACAUGACAGCCCACUGGGAGUUUGCCAAAAAGCACCUGAACGACUCUCAGACCAUGACCUCUGGUCUGAUGAAAUGAAGAUUGAACUAUUUGGCCACAAUUCCCAACAGCGUGUGUAGGCCUGUCGCAAUUUUGAGCUGACCAUGAUUAUUUUGCAAAAUCAUUAGAUUCCACGGGGAAGGGAAGUUUUGCAGUUGAAUAUUAUUAUUAUUAUUAUUAUUAUUAUUAUUAUUUACAUGUUGAUAUUUAGUCAUAUUUUUUCUUAAUGUUAUGUUUAAUCCAGGUCCACUCUGAAUAAUUACAAUUUUGUUUACCUGUAAUACAAAAUAGCCAAAGUCACACUUAACACUUUAGGACAGUGAGUAGCUGCUGGUGCAGAGUGGAGCUGCACAUCUCCACCACCAUGUUGUGGACUUGUGGAAUAUACAGAGGUAAUCGCUGGCCUUUUCUUAUUGUUUUAAUCAAAGUUUAUUUGUGUAUGACGUAAAA